UAUCAAUUAAUUGAGGUAAAACUCAUUCUACAAGAUUUUUACUGCGAUACUGAAAGCAACAGUAUGAUUUUGGUUCAACUAUCACCUGGACUUGAACAUCUAUAUCACCAUUGGGACACAGCCAUUCCACAUGUCCCUGUUACCAAAUCAAAGAUAAAGUCAUGGGGUGAUCUCGGGCCCAUGGCAAAACUAUGGGCCAGCAUGGAUGAACU